AGUGAACGCUGGCGGCGUGCUUAACACAUGCAAGUCGAACGAGAACGGAUUAUAGCUUGCUAUAAUUGUCAGCUAAGUGGCGCACGGGUGAGUAAUGUAUAGGUAAUAUGCCUCUUACUAAGGGAUAACAAAUGGAAACGUUUGCUAAUACCUUAUACUCCUUAUUAACAGAAGUUAAUAAGGGAAAGAUUUAUUGGUAAGAGAUUAGCCUGUAUUGUAUCAGUUAGUUGGUGGGGUAAUGGCUUACCAAGACUAUGACACAUAACUGGUUUGAGAGGAUGAUCAGUCACACUGGAACUGAGACACGGUCCAGACUCCUACGGGAGGCAGCAGUGGGGAAUAUUGGACAAUGGGCGAAAGCCUGAUCCAGCCAUGCCGCGUGUGUGAAGAAGGCC
rnacentral:rRNA from 1 species